CUCUAGCCCUGAUAAUAGCGGCAUCCUUUAUGUUUUUUCUUUAAAAAUAUAAAGAUAUAGCGAAUAGCAGGAAACAGC
rnacentral:sRNA from 1 species